rnacentral:lncRNA from 1 species
UUUCACAACUUUAUAAAUGGAACUUAUGUGCUUGUGUUUAUUUGUUAUUUCUUUAUAAUUUAUCUUUUAUAAACAAGAUAAUUAUAAUUUAGCAAAUAAAUUAUUAAAAAUGUAAGAAUGUAAAAUUAUUGGGAGUUGAUUUAAUAAUUGUUUUUUUAGGUGUUGAAUUGAAUGCAUAAGGAGUGUUCUUCCUUGCAUCUCAGGUAUCUCGUCGUCUCGCACCUCCCACUUUUUUAAGUUAUACAAGAGUGCCCCUGUCAGAAGAGCAUAAAAGCAUAAUUUUGACAAAACCUUUAAUUGCUUUAUUUUUAUUUUUGUUUGACUCCUUAAAAAAAACUUAUUUUUUUCUUCCGCAUUUCAUAUCAAAACCUACACCCCUUUUUCCCUCUCUUCCAGUCUUGCUUCUUCUCCUCUCCCUCCUUU